CCCUUAGAUGUCCGGGGCUGCACGCGCGCUACACUGAAGGAAUCAGCGUGCUAAAACCAUUGUCGAAAGGCAUUGGUAAACCCAUUAAAAUCCUACGUGAUUGGGAUCGGGAAUUGCAAUUAUUUCCCUUGAACGAGGAAUUCCCAGUAAGUGUGGGUCAUAAGCUCGCGUUGAUUACGUCCCUGCCCUUUGUACACACCGCCCGUCGCUGCCCGGGACUGAGCCGUUUCGAGAAAAGCGGGGACUGCUGCUGUCGGGGCUUUCGGGCCGUGGCUUCGGUGGAAACCGCUUUAAUCGCAGUGGCUUGAACCGGGCAAAAGUCGUANCA
rnacentral:rRNA from 1 species